AUUGAACGCUGGCGGCAUGCCUUACACAUGCAAGUCGAACGGCAGCACGGGAGCAAUCCUGGUGGCGAGUGGCGAACGGGUGAGUAAUAUAUCGGAACGUGCCCAGUCGUGGGGAUAACGUAGCGAAAGCUACGCUAAUACCGCAUACGAUCUACGGAUGAAAGCGGGGGAUCGCAAGACCUCGCGCGAUUGGAGCGGCCGAUAUCAGAUUAGGUAGUUGGUGAGGUAAAGGCUCACCAAGCCGACGAUCUGUAGCUGGUCUGAGAGGACGACCAGCCACACUGGGACUGAGACACGGCCCAGACUCCUACGGGAGGCAGCAGUGGGGAAUAUUGGACAAUGGGCGAAAGCCUGAUCCAGCAAUGCCGCGUGCAGGAUGAAGGCCU
rnacentral:rRNA from 1 species